AAGACUAUACUUUCAGGGAUCAUUUCUAUAGUUCGUUACUAGAGAAGUUUCUCUGAAUGCGUAGAGCACCUUAAGG
rnacentral:snoRNA from 1 species